CGCCUGGGCUGGCGGGCCCUUGAGGAGCGAAACCCUGAGGGGCUCGCAGGGGUCGCCAUCAAGGCUCGACGAGGGCCGAACCCACUUCCAAGGUGUCGUCAGCACAGCCGAGAGGGUGCUUCUGAGAGCAGCUGGUAUUGCUGCAUCUCAUGCCCUGUUGGAAAAGUGAGGCGUAUUUUCCGUCAGGCCCUACACCGCCCCCUUGGUAGCUCCAGGGGGCAUCUCGGGAUGCCCCAGACCCUGCCUGUCUAAGCCUGAGCUCGCGGUACAUCCCCAGCACGAACCUGGUCCUAUGCGCCUCAUCUCAGCCGGGGGGAGCCGUGCAGCCAUUCCCGGCACCUCUUGUUCUUUCAGCCUCAGCGUCCAGUCCACUGUCACCUCAGGUCCAUUUACCUUCCAGCCCUGUGACAAUGGGAAAAUGCCUCCUUUUUUGCGGCUUCCCACUAGAUCUUCAUGAUGUGAAAGUGCAAGUGUUAGUCGCUCAGUCGUGUCCGACUCUCUGCGACCCCAUGGACUGCAGCCCUCCAGGCCCCUCUGUCCAGGGGAUUUUCCAGGCCAGAAGACUGGAGUUGCCUCAGGGCAAGGCUGUGCCUCUCCCUGGUGGCCCGCCUCCAGUGACAGAUGGAGGAUGGAGACGGGUCAUGAACACUGGCCCUGCCACCUCUCCGUGGGCAGCUCUUGUUGGCCAUCUCAGCUUCAGAACUCACUGGGGUUGGCAGUGCCUCUUGGACUUGACAUCCUCUCUGGCUGAUGCCUUCCACCGCUGUCCUUCCAAAGAUGCUCCCUAGUGUACAGGCCUGCCCUCUAAGGUCCGUCUUGGACGCUGCUUCCUCCAACGCACACCAGGCUCCUCUGAUCAUUUCCCCCUCCGGGCCCUCUGCUGCAGCUCCAGGCACUCUCAUGGCUCAGCAGCAAAUCCUCCCUUGAGAGGCCCCUGAAGCACAUCGGCCUGCCUUUGGUUCUCUCUACCAGAGUCCCUUCAUCCACCUAAGGGCAGUUUAACUGAGGAUCUUUGUUCUCAGUGGUAGAGCAAGAAGUCACCUGUUAUGGGAGGAGUGGAACAGGCUUUGGAAGUCUGAGUCAAAUUUGAUAAUCCUGGUGGGCCACUUAAAAACCAUGAUUUUGACCAAGUUGCUUCACC
ensembl:lncRNA